AUCAUUUUUCUCUUCUCCUCCACCGAAAAUGGAAGCAAAGAAAGGGGUUUUGAAGCUCUGAAAUAUCAGCCACUUACAUCCCUUGCUAAUGAUGAAAAUCGAGAUUUGGACCUAGAACGGAAAGAAAUCGAUUAAGGGAUAAUUACGUCUUUUUCACCUUUGUGGUAUCGAGAGUUGCUAGGUUAGCUCGGGUUGGAGGCCAUCAGAGAUAUUAUCACCUUGUCGAGUUAACGCUAUCGGCGUAAGUAAACUCAAGUGAUUCGAGUCUAUGGCAUGUAUAGGCUUUUAAUGUGAGUCUGUAAUAUUAUGAUUUAGCCAAAGGCAUUGGCUUGUUAUUAAGGUAGUAUUGUAAUAUUAUGAUUUAGCCAAAGGCAUUGGCUUGUUAUUAAGGUAGUAUUAGUCAUGUAAAUUGGCCUAUGUCGGCUAAUGACGUUAUGGGCCCAUAUGAUUAUUCUUAUGCAUGUAUGUUAUUAUCUCUUGUGAUGUGGCUUACAACAUGUAUGCCUAGAGAUUGAAUUGAGAUUCAUUGAUGAGCUAAUAA